UACGGGGGGGGCAAGCGUUGUUCGGAAUUACUGGGCGUAAAGGGUUCGUAGGUGGCCUGCUAAGUCACACGUGAAAUCCCUCAGCUUAACUGGGGAACUGCGUCUGAUACUGGUGUGGCUUGAGUGCAGGAGAGGAACGCGGAAUUCCAGGUGUAGCGGUGAAAUGCGUAGAUAUCUGGAGGAACACCGGUGGCGAAGGCGGCGUUCUGGACUGCAACUGACACUGAGGAACGAAAGCCAGGGGAGCAAACGGG
rnacentral:rRNA from 1 species